AGGUAGCACAAAAGGUACAUGAUAAUGUCGUAUUAAAGGAUGGGUCUUUAACUGGUGAAGGUAGUAUGUUCUGCUAAUAUAUAUCCAUACAGGUUGAAUUGGAGAAGGUUGGAAUCCCAAUGCAGAAGGUUGUAGGGAUGUAUUCGACCAAUAUAUUACGAUUGUCAAGCCCCUAGUUGGUGGAAGGAUGGCUUCCUACUAUGGAGCAUAGAAUCCUUCCCCACUUCCAGAACUGAGCUUGCUGUAUGUCUAUUCGAUAUAACUUUGCAAUGAGGCUUAGUGGCUUACAGGAUAACGAUGGUUUUAUGUUAACUACUUUCCACUCCAUCAGCCUUUUGUUUGAAACUAGUAUCUAGUCCUCACACUUCUGUAUAGAUGAAAGAAAGCAUGUGCUAGGAGUAACAUAUUAGUGUCUUUAUAAAGGCUUUUUGUUUUUAGUAUGAUUUGCAUCAUUUGUACAAAAGGAAAACAGCUUUGGCUGAGACAAUGUAGUAGUUUUUAAUUUAUGAAUGUUAACACAUUCUAU